UUCCCCUCUCUGAACCCAGCAGCACCAACCCACUCUUCCCCCUUUCCCAAUCAUGCGCAGCCGCAGUGUAUACACAGCUUUCUUCACUAUGGAAGAAAGAAAUAGAAGGAAGGUAGGGGAGGCCUUGCCACCGUCGAUCCACCACCUUGGAGCUCACCAUCGAGCUGCUUUGCGGCGCCAUUCAUGGAGUCACUAGCUCACGUCACCGCCGAUCAUCAUCGAGCCACCGUCAGAAGCCGAACCACAAAGGAGAAGGACGCAAGGCAGGGGCCGACGAGACAGAGGAAGGGCGCGCGUGUAGGAGCUCAGCCGCGGGGAGAGAUGCGCGUCUAAACCCUCGCCGCCAUUGGAGUAGCGCAGAGAGAGACGCGAAGAGGGAGAGCAGUCGCGCAUCCAGAUGCGUCCUCACCGCCGCGGGAGGAAUCGUCGCCGUCAAGCACGGUGGGUGGCAGAGAGACAGAACUCGCGUCUGAGACUGGGAGGAGGUGGGGUUUCACCGCUGUUGGGGUCUCACUGCCGCUGUCCCCGUGAUGGCUGGUGUCGUCGCCGGAGAAGACCACCGGAGUUGCUGUCUGCCUCUGCCUCGGGGUUUUGCAAGUUGUCGGAGUCCACUGCCGCCAGAGCUGCCUAGAACCACUGCUGUGGCUGCCGCUGGGAUUGUGAACGGAAUGAGGAGACGCUGUUUCCGUUACAGCCACUCUUGGAGGAGAAGUCAACCGCGCCACCGUGCCGAGUUGCCGGAGAACCUCGCUGCCGUCGCCGGAGGACUCUUCCGUUGAUCCACCGGAGCUUCUGGCCACCGCCGGAGCUGUUGCUAGGCCGGUUCGAAAUCGCAACUGCUUCGUGUUGUUAUUCCGUGUUGCUAUGGUUAUUGCGAACGUGACUGGGAGCUAAGGUUUUGGUUGCCGUCAGUUCGGGUUGAGGCGGAAAGGACUCUAUGAUGCGUUUGAGUUAUGGAAUUUGCGUUUUAAGGAUUUGGGCGCAGAAGUUAUGAAGAGUUUAAUUAUUUGUUAUUGAGAUGCUCUGUAUGCUUUAGAUUAUUAUUUUUGUACCCUCGCCUUUAUCUUGAUAUAUUCUGUGAGAGGGAUAGGAAUUGUAUUGGUUAAUGUUUGUAAUAUUAUUUAUAUGUAUGUAUGUAUAUACAUGGAUGUACUCUUUACGAGUUUUUAUAAGUUGUAUGAUAUCUAUGGAUGUACGUUAUCGAA